rnacentral:rRNA from 1 species
AGUGAACGCUGGCGGUAGGCCUAACACAUGCAAGUCGAACGGCAGCACAGUAAGAGCUUGCUCUUACGGGUGGCGAGUGGCGGACGGGUGAGGAAUACAUCGGAAUCUACUUUUUCGUGGGGAUAACGUAGGGGAACUUACGCUAAUACCGCAUACGACCUACGGGUGAAAGCAGGGGGUCUUCGGACCUUGCGCGAUUGAAUGAGCCGAUGUCGGAUUAGCUAGUUGGCGGGGUAAAGGCCCACCAAGGCGACGAUCCGUAGCUGGUCUGAGAGGAUGAUCAGCCACACUGGAACUGAGACACGGUCCAGACUCCUACGGGAGGCAGCAGUGGGGAAUAUUGGACAAUGGGCGCAAGCCUGAUCCAGCCAUACCGCGUGGGUGAAGAAGGCCUUCGGGUUGUAAAGCCCUUUUGUUGGGAAAGAAAAGCAGCAGGUUAAUACCCCGCUGUUCUGACGGUACCCAAAGAAUAAGCACCGGCUAACUUCGUG